rnacentral:rRNA from 1 species
GACGAACGCUGGCGGCGUGCUUAACACAUGCAAGUCGAACGGAAAGGCCCUGCGUUUGUGCGGUGCCCGAGUGGCGAACGGGUGAGUAACACGUGAGUAACCUGCUCUUGACUUUGGGAUAACUUCAGGAAACUGGGGCUAAUACCGGAUAGGAGCUCAUGCUGCAUGGUGGGGGUUGGAAAGUCUCGGCGGGUGGGGAUGGACUCGCGGCUUAUCAGCUUGCUGGUGGGGUAGUGGCUUGCCAAGGCUUGGAACGGUAGCCGGCCUGAGAGGGUGGCCGGCCACAUUGGUACUGAGAUACGGCCCAGACGCCUACGGGAGGCAGCAGUGGGGAAUAUGACACAAUGGGCGGGAGCCUGAUGCAGCAACGCCGCGUGCGGAAUGACGGCCUUCGGGUUAUAAACCGCUUUCGCCUGUGACGAAGCGUGAGUGACGGUAAUGGAUAAAUAAGCACCGGCUAACUACGUG